rnacentral:rRNA from 1 species
UGGGGAAUAUUGGACAAUGGGCGAAAGCCUGAUCCAGCAAUGCCACGUGAGUGAAGAAGGCCUUCGGGUUGUAAAGCUCUUUUACCAGGGACGAUAAAGACGGUACCUGGAGAAUAAGCCCCGGCAAACUUCGUGCCAGCAGCCGCGGUAAUACGAAGGGGGCUAGCGUUGUUCGGAAUUACUGGGCGUAAAGCGCACGUAGGCGGAUUGUUAAGUCAGAGGUGAAAUCCCGGAGCUCAACUUCGGAACUGCCUUUGAUACUGGCAAUCUAGAGUCCGGAAGAGGUUAGUGGAAUUCCCAGUGUAGAGGUGAAAUUCGUAGAUAUUGGGAAGAACACCAGUGGCGAAGGCGGCUAACUGGUCCGGUACUGACGCUGAGGUGCGAAAGCGUGGGGAGCAAA